CCUACGGGUGGCAGCAGUGAGGAAUAUUGGUCAAUGGGCGAGAGCCUGAACCAGCCAAGUCGCGUGAGGGAGUACUGCCCUAUGGGUUGUAAACCUCUUUUGUCGGGGAGCAAAAGCCGGACGUGUUCGGCUGUGAGAGUACCCGAAGAAAAAGCAUCGGCUAACUCCGUGACAGCAGCCGCGGUAAUACGGAGGAUGCGAGCGUUAUCCGGAUUUAUUGGGUUUAAAGGGUGCGCAGGCGGAUUUUUAAGUCAGCGGUAAAAUCGUGGGGGAAAACCCCGUCCAGCCGUGGAAACUGGGAGGCUAGAGUUGGAGAGAGGUAGGCGGAAUGAGCGGUGUAGCGGUGAAAUGAAUAGAGAGCGCGCAGAACGACGAUUGCGAAGGAAGCAUGCCGGCUCCACACUGACGCUGAGGCACGAAAGCGUGGGGAGCGAACAGGAUGAGAUACACUAGUAGUC
rnacentral:rRNA from 1 species